rnacentral:other from 1 species
AAUUGCCUGCGGUAUUCGUGAUAUUAUCGAUAUUCAGAACCAAUAAUGAAUAGGAAGUCAGGCCCUUUGUGGCGCAUGAACCAGACAUGAUCUGGAGAUGCAAAGCAAAAAACGGUAGACGUCCACCUUGUUCCAAGGUUCCAGAAGUACAUGGUACACGGUAUCGCGGGUAAAAU